AUUAAGUAAAAAAAAUGCGAAUGGAAGCCCUCACCAGCCUAAGCCCUGAACCGCCGAAAACGAUGAGCAGCGCCGGCAUCCGAUCCCCCGCCACAAUGUCGCCGCCGUCGAGUCCGCCUCGGCUGUGCCCCUCCAAUCCCUCGCGUACCUCCAAUCCCUCGCGUACCUCCCACCGCACCACCGACCUCGGGUUCCGGCUCCGACGAUCCGCGUCGACGAGAAGGAGAUGUCCGCCGUCAUCAAUAGCGUGACCAAAGCCGCCGACCGCC
rnacentral:lncRNA from 1 species